CCUGACUCACCCGGACAUCCUCCAUCUGUCAGCUCACAGCACACACUGCGCUUCUUCACGUUGCGACAUCAUUAACUCUGCAGAUGAAGUGGGUGGAAACUUUUAUACAUACAGUCUGUGGUGUGAACGCAAGCCGAGUUAUUUCUCUCUUGUCUUAUUCUCUGAGGAAGUUCAUUUCUGAACAUUUCUGUCUCUCGGACGACACACAGGUGACGAGGCAUUGCUGAAAUACCACCUCUAAAAAUAAACUGCAUCCAGGUAGAAGAAAAAUAAGCACCGCAAAGGUAAUCUGCGAGAACAGCAACCAGUUUUUCAAGAAGGCAAAAUGGGUGAUGACACUACGACUCUGCACAUGGACGGCAUCCCUGCAGACACGCUCCUUAAGGU